rnacentral:RNase_P_RNA from 1 species
AAGACCGGGUUGUCGCUGCCGCCUUGUGCGGGAGAGGAAAGUCCGGGCAACAUAGAGCACCAUACUUCCUAACGGGAAGGCGUCGUAAGACGACAGACAGUGCCGCAGAAAAUAUACCGCCCGCAAGGGUAAGGGUGAAAACGCGAGGUAAGAGCUCACGCCGCCGUCAGUGAUGCCGGUGGAGGUAAACCUUAUGGGUUGAAAGACCAAAUAAACCGAGGCUUGAGGGCUGCUCGUCCAAUCUCGGAGGGUGGGUUGAUAGAGGCCUGUGGUGACGCAGGUCGUAGAUAAAUGGCAACCGAUUACAGAACCCGGCUUAUAGGUUUUCCU